GAGAACUGAUAUUUCGAUGGAUGAAAUGAGGGGAGUACGCCCCGAAGCGUCGGCACUGAUACUCCCACUGGCAUAGGCGCGCACCCGCCGAUGGUCAGAAGCUCGGUGAAGUCGGCAGAAAAAUUUCGUAGUUCUGGCCCGCAAGGCAAAGCCCAAAGCUGUCCAAGGGGGACCGGGCAUCGGAAAUCCCGGGUGGCACCGCC
rfam:Human gut metagenome DNA, contig sequence: In-D_022186.